AUUGAACGCUGGCGGCAUGCUUUACACAUGCAAGUCGAACGGUAACAGGGUGCUUGCACCGCUGACGAGUGGCGAACGGGUGAGUAAUGCGUCGGAACGUGCCGAGUAGUGGGGGAUAACGCAGCGAAAGUUGUGCUAAUACCGCAUACGUACUGAGGUAGAAAGUGGGGGACCUUCGGGCCUCACGCUAUUCGAGCGGCCGACGUCUGAUUAGCUAGUAGGUGAGGUAAAGGCUCACCUAGGCGACGAUCAGUAGCGGGUCUGAGAGGAUGAUCCGCCACACUGGGACUGAGACACGGCCCAGACUCCUACGGGAGGCAGCAGUGGGGAAUUUUGGACAAUGGGCGAAAGCCUGAUCCAGCCAUGCCGCGUGUCUGAAGAAGGCCUUCGGGUUGUAAAGGACUUUUGUCAGGGAGGAAAUCCCUAGUGCUAAUAACACUGGGGGAUGACAGUACCUGAAGAAUAAGCACCGGCUAACUACGUGCCAGCAGCAGCCGCAGUAA
rnacentral:rRNA from 1 species